AUUUAAAANUNUCAUGCUUAGCGGCGCGGAGAAGGCUCCAUCGGAUUACUCCAUAUCCUUGCUAUGCCUUUGGCAGUGGGGUUUGGUUGGUUCGUUGUUGUUUUUUCUUAGCAAUCGCGUGGGCGUGUGAGUGGUAUUCGGGAUGUUUGUGCUGGCUGGCUCCUUGCUCGUGCAUCGAACGGUCAGCAAGCAUCCCUCUCCAGUACUCACCUUUUUGCCUUGUGCUUUGGUGUUUGCUUUGGUUCCUGUGUUGGCUACCUAUUGAAGGCACUCAGGUGGUGUUGCUGAACUAAUCCCAUCUCGGCCUCUUUUGGGGGGUUGUGGAGGGCUUGGAAGCGACGCGUNSGKRYYYAMUNGGUCAUGCUCCACGGUGACUAUUUUGGUCCGUACGUGCACGCUGUAUUCUUGGAUGCGGUGCAUGAGGUGAACGUGGGUCUUUUUUUCCCACCGUGUCCCUUUACUUUCGGUUGACUUGAAUGAUGCCUGUCUUUUUUUGCAUUUUUUGCUUACCACCAGUGGGUGCAAAGCUUGCAACUAGAGCAGUGUCAUUGAUGGAUGCUACCUGGUUGAUCCUGCCAGUAGUCAUAUGCUUGUCUCAAAGAUUAAGCCAUG
rnacentral:misc_RNA from 1 species